CUCGAGGCCAGAUCUAGAGUUUGAUCCUGGCUGAGGACGAACGCUGGCGGCGUGCCUAAUACAUGCAAGUCGAGCGAAGUUUUUCUGGUGCUUGCACUAGAAAAACUUAGCGGCGAACGGGUGAGUAACACGUAAAGAACCUGCCUCAUAGACGGGGACAACUAUUGGAAACGAUAGCUAAUACCGGAUAACAGCAUAAAUCGCAUGAUAUAUGUUUAAAAGUUGGUUUCGGCUAACACUAUGAGAUGGCUUUGCGGUGCAUUAGCUAGUUGGUGGGGUAAAGGCCUACCAAGGCGGCGUUGCAUAGCCGACCUGAGAGGAUGAUCGGCCACACUGGGACUGAGACACGGCCCAGACUCCUACGGGAGGCAGCAGUAGGGAAUCUUCCGCAAUGGGCGAAAGCCUGACGGAGCAACGCCGCGUGAGUGAAGAAGGAUUUCGGUUCGUAAAGCUCUGUUGUUAGGGAAGAAUGAUUGUAUAGUAACUAUAUACAGUAGAGACGGUACCUAACCAGAAAGCCACGGCUAACUACGUGCCAGCAGCCGCGGUAAUACGUAGGUGGCAAGCGUUGUCCGGAAUUAUUGGGCGUAAAGCGCGCGCAGGUGGUUUAAU
rnacentral:rRNA from 1 species